GAAACGACACAUCGUGAACGCAUACGCUAUCAGGGAACAUUCGUGGCCCGAUUCGUUCACCGCCACAUCCUGCGGUCCUGGAAAAUGCGAAAUGUAAAUAUUUGGCUUUCUUUCAUUUUACGUGUCGCUGUUUGUUGAAACACACAAUUUGAUUGGACCUGCUCGUCUGAGUUUGUGACACUUGGACGUGUGGGACGGUGCCAGUUUGCCAGAGGCAUAUUCUGAGUGUGUCAGCUAUCAGAAACGCUCCUGUGUUUCAAGGAUGGCAUCAGCUCAGGGUGUGUUUCUUGUCUGUGAGGAUCUCUGGACGGAUGGACCUGCGGGUUUGAUCUGCCUGGAUCAGCCACAUACUGUUUGACAGCGCAGUUUUUCUUGACGUUAGCUGUUGGGACGGCUUUGAUGCAGGAAGGGUGGACUGUCGCUGGGAGUUUGGAGUGUGUUCAGUGAGUUAUUUCUAUAGACAGGACAGUGAGGAGAGCGCCUGAGGAGCAUGCACACACACACAAGUAGAGUGCUGCUGGGACCAACGCUUUUCCCCAGACGCUCCACAUGGACACAGUAAAGAAGAGGUCGUGGCUAUAUUCGGCAAGGUCAUCAAAGAGCCUGGAGUCAGCGCUCAUCAUCAUCAUCAUCAUCAUCAUCAUCAUGCUGUUUGGUUCAGUUCAGCUGUCCUUGACCCCUCUGCUCUCUUUUCUGGAAGUUUCUGUGAUUUGCUGCGCCGUGCGGUUCAUCGAAUCCCUCAGAGAGCCUUUCACCUGUCUCCUAACAGCUCCCAGAAUGCAGCGCUGUGCAGGACGACACACGCCUGGCAAUUAGUGGAAUGGAAACUGGAGUGCUCUUCUGAGAGCUGAAAUAAUUGGAUGUUAGAGCUCAUGGAAACACAAAAAGACAAGAAUAAGAGUCGGAGGAUGUGAAGAACAAACUUUUGGUGCGAUGUAAACACUAGAUGACACUUGUUGAUGGAGGGCAGCAGAUUCUGGAUUUAGAAGAAAACCUUUAUCGAGUCCCACCGCCCUUGAAACGGAUGACAUCGAUUGGACAGCCAGAAGAUUCCCGACCCCUCCUGCCCUGGAGGACGAUCAAUGGACCCGCGGGCCGCUCCCGGAACAUCAGCAGAGGAUUAAACAAUCUCCCAGCACAACACAAUUAACUCCACAACACCUCACAUCAAUAUUUAAGAGCAAACUACAGAUAGCACAGAGAAAAAAAAUGCUUCGAAUUUUGUAUAUCGCAUGGCAAUAUUAAAGCAAUAGUUCACCCAAAAAUUACAAUUUGCUGGAAAUCUGCUCACUAUCAGGCCAUCCAAGAUGUAGAUGAGUUUGUUUCUUCAUCAGAACAGAUUUGGAUCCAUUGAAGUGAAUAGGUGCCGUCAGAAUCUGAAUGUUUAAACAUUCAGAUGUCACCCCCUUUCUAAUCAUUAACUUUCAUAUUUAACUGUAGUUUAAUUACACAUUUUUUUCUCAGUAACUGUGACUACAAUUACAUUUUUUUUUAAUUAAAUUAAGUAACUCUGUUACAUGUAACUAGUUACUCCCAACACUGAGUAUAAUGUAAAAAUAGUGUUGAUAGACUGUUACAUCUAUCAUUUUACAAGAUUGAGAACAGCAAAAAACGUACAAAUAACAGCAAAGAGUGUGUCUGUGUGAGCUGGUCUUGAUCUGUGGUGUGUGUGUAAACGCCGGCAGGUUUAAACAAAGGUAAAAUUGAGAAAAAACGCUUUUGACAGAUCAGAAAGAGAACCCCCUUUGUUUUCCACCAGGAUCAAAUGAGUGCUCUUGAAAGACCAGCAGACUGUGUUUUAUUAAGUAGGGCUCCAGAGCAGCACUGCUUCUCUCCAAAGCGCUAUUCUCUCCUAAUAGAGAACUGAAAGCCGCUGCGACCUCUAAGUUAACCUCCGCUGAGACAUAGCGCUCCACAGAUGCUCCCAGAAUGGAUAUUUCACCUUGUUGUUUACCCCUUUGCAGAUUUACAGUACAUGGACUGUGUGUGUGUGCAGUCACCUAUAACCUCUACUGCGAACAUGCGUUUGGUUGGCGAGAUGUUUGUCUGUGAAUGUCGACAGGUUUUGCUAUUCUUUUGGGGUUUGCUUAAGGAUAUAGAAACAGUAUUGAGUGUUAGUAAAUUCUCAGAGCUUAACUGCGGUUUUUGGUUUCUACAUUGGUUUAGCAUCCAUACCAGGGAACUACACUGAAUGCAUCUCUAGCGUAUAACACCCUUGAGGUUUGAAUCAGGAUUUUUAAAUGAGUAUAGCUGCACUGUCUGCUCAUUUAUGCCCUUUAAUCUGCGUCCUUUGGGUGUUAGUAUGUGCACGAGGGUGCACUGCUAUGAGCCUACUAAGUAAGCUGGGUUAUUGUUGAUAACUAAAACUAGAACUAUAAAAUGUUACUUGAAAUACAAUUUCAACUUAUUUUAUUUCAGCUAGUUUUCCAAGGCAACAUUUCUUAUUUUCAUUUAGUUUCGAAGGAAUAGUUCACCCAAAAACUCCAAAAAUUGGCUUAAAAUUUACUAAUGCUCAGAUCAUCCAAGAUAUAGUUGAGUUUGUUUCAUCAACGGAACAGAUUUGGAGAAAUUUAGCAUUAAAUCACUUGCUCACCAAUGGAUCCAUUGAAGUGAAUGGGUGCCGUCAGAAAGAGCGUCCAAACAGCUGAUAAAAACAUCACAAUUAUUCACACCACCAUCGAUUAACAUCAUGUGAAGUGAAAAACUGCAUGUUUGUAAGAGACAAAAUCCAUAAUUAAGAUGUUUUUAACUUUAAAUUGUUGCCUUGGGCUAAAAUAUGAGUCCUCUAUCCUUAAUAUUGCUUUCUUCAGUGAAAAUGUAAUGUUGUCUGAAUCAGGGGAGAACUAUGCAAAGAUCAUGCUCUUCACAAGAUGUCAACUGAUGGACUGGAGUUGUGUGAAUUACUUAUGGAUUAUUGUUCUGACGGCACCCAUUCACUGCAGAGGAUCCAUUGGUGAGAAAGUGAUGCAAUGCUAAAUUUCUCC
ensembl:lncRNA